ensembl:lncRNA
AGGUAAGCCAGCUACAGCUGGAGGGGGUGUGCAGUCACCACAGUGAAGCGCAGCAGUUUUCCGGGCAGCCUGCUUCUGCUCUGUCUCAUUCCAUUGCCCGGUGAUCCGGCAGCCUCCACAUGGAGAGGCUUAAUUGGGAAAGGAAGAGGCGGUUUGGAGCAGGUCAUUUCUAUUCCAAAGGCAGCCCUCAUUUCUGCUCAUGCUGACUGAUUCCUUUCCCCUGUCCCACCGAGUUUUGCAGAGGCAUCCAUGUUACAACUGACACUGAGAUUGCCUGAAAAAUUAUCUUGACCAUCAAGACAAAUGUGAAAAUGGGUUUAAGAUGGAACUUCUGGACAUGGUUAAAAUGUGAAUCAUUUGGAAAUCAGUCAUCAUCCCAGUUGAUAAGAAAACCCCAUUGGAAAACCCAAGUCAAGGAGACUUCCUGGCUUCCGGCAUCUUACAACCCUCUAAAUAAGAGGAAAAGUUCAAGUGAGUGUCAUCACUCCCCAGCAGAGAGACCCUUGGGGUUGUGUCUCUCCUCCAUCCUCCUGGAGCCUGACACGCGGACCUGAGAC